rnacentral:rRNA from 1 species
GCAAGUCGAACGAGAACGGGUUAUAGUUUACUAUAACUGUCAGCUAAGUGGCGCACGGGUGAUUAAUAUCUAGUUAACGUGCCCUAGAGAGGGGGAUAACAUUUGGAAACGGACGCUAAUACCUCAUAUGCCUUUAAGUCAAAAGACUGCAAGGGAAACAUUUAUGGCUCUAGGAUGGGAAUGUACGGUAUCAGUUAGUUGGUGAGGUAAUGGCUCACCAAGACAAUGACACCUAGCUGGUUUGAGAGGAUGAUC